rnacentral:rRNA from 1 species
CUGCGAGUGAAGCGGGAAAAGCUCAAAUUUAAAAUCUGGCAGUCUUUUGGCUGUCCGAGUUGUAAUCUAGAGAAGUGCUAUCCGUGCUGGACCAUGUAUAAGUCUCCUGGGAUGGAGCAUCACAGAGGGUGAGAAUCCCGUCUAUGACAUGGACUCCCAGUGCAUUGUGAUGUGCUCUCAAAGAGUCGAGUUGUUUGGGAAUGCAGCUCUAAAUGGGUGGUAAAUUCCAUCUAAAGCUAAAUAUUGGCGAGAGACCGAUAGCGAACAAGUACCGUGAGGGAAAGAUGAAAAGAACUUUGGAAAGAGAGUUAAACAGUACGUGAAAUUGUUGAAAGGGAAACGCUUGAAGUCAGUCACAUUGGCUGGGGAUCAACUCUGCUCUUUUGCUGGGUGUACUUCCUAGUUAAUGGGUCAGCAUCAAUUUUGAUCACUGGAAAAAGGUAGAGGGAAUGUGGCAUCUUAGGAUGUGUUAUAGCCCUCUAUUGUAUACAGUGGUUGGGAUUGAGGAUAUCAGCACGCCGUAAGGCUGGGUCAUUGACCACACUCGUGCUUAGGAUGCUGGCAUAAUGGCUUUAAUCGACCCGUCUUGAAACACGGACCAAGGAGUCUAACAUGCCUGCGAGUGUUUGGGUGGAAAACCCAAGCGCGUAAUGAAAGUGAAAGUUGAGAUCCCUGUCAUGGGGAGCAUCGACGCCCGGACCAGAACUUUUGGGACGGAUCUGCGGUAGAGCAUGUAUGUUGGGACCCGAAAGAUGGUGAACUAUGCCUGAAUAGGGCGAAGCCAGAGGAAACUCUGGUGGAGGCUCGUAGCGAUUCUGACGUGCAAAUCGAUCGUCGAAUUUGGGUAUA